rnacentral:rRNA from 1 species
CAUGCAAGUCGAACGAUCCUUCGGGAUAGUGGCGGACGGGUGAGUAACACGUGGGAACGUACCUUUAGGUUCGGGACAACUCAGGGAAACUUGAGCUAAUACCGGAUAAGCCCUUCGGGGGAAAGAUUUAUCGCCUUUAGAGCGGCCCGCGUUAGAUUAGCUAGUUGGUGAGGUAAAGGCUCACCAAGGCUCCGAUCUAUAGCUGGUCUGAGAGGAUGAUCAGCCACACUGGGACUGAGACACGGCCCAGACUCCUACGGGAGGCAGCAGUGGGGAAUCUUGCGCAAUGGGCGAAAGCCUGACGCAGCCAUGCCGCGUGAAUGAUGAAGGUCUUAGGAUUGUAAAAUUCUUUUAGCAGGGACGAUAAUGACGGUACCUGCAGAAAAAGCCCCGGCUAACUUCGUGCCAGCAGCCGCGGUAAUACGAAGGGGGCUAGCGUUGCUCGGAAUUACUGGGCGUAAAGGGAGCGUAGGCGGGUUAUCAAGUUGGAGGUGAAAGCCCAGGGCUCAACCUUGGAAUUGCCUUCAAAACUGAUAACCUAGAGGAUGAUAGAGGUAAGUGGAACUCCGAGUGUAGAGGUGAAAUUCGUAGAUAUUCGGAGGAACACCAGUGGCGAAGGCGGCUCACUGGCUCGAUACUGACGCUGA